CCUACGGGGUGCAGCAGUCGAGAAUCAUUCACAAUGGGGGAAACCCUGAUGGUGCGACGCCGCGUGGGGGAAUGAAGGUCUUCGGAUUGUAAACCCCUGUCAUGUGGGAGCAAAUUAAAAAGAUAGUACCACACGAGGAAGAGACGGCUAACUCUGUGCCAGCAGCCGCGGUAAUACAGAGGUCUCAAGCGUUGUUCGGAAUCACUGGGCGUAAAGCGUGCGUAGGCUGUUUCGUAAGUCGUGUGUGAAAGGCGCGGGCUCAACCCGCGGACGGCACAUGAUACUGCGAGACUAGAGUAAUGGAGGGGGAACCGGAAGUCUCGGUGUAGUAGUGAAAUGCGUAGAUAUCGAGAGGAACACUCGUGGCGAAGGCGGGUUCCUGGACAUUAACUGACGCUGAGGCACGAAGGCCAGGGGAGCGAAAGGGAUUAGAUACCCCAGUAGUC
rnacentral:rRNA from 1 species